rnacentral:rRNA from 1 species
GACGGGGGGUCCUAGCGUUGUUCGGAAUCAUUGGGCGUAAAGCGGGCGUAGGUGGCUAUGUAAGUCAGGAGUGAAAGCCCUGGGCUCAACCCAGGAAGUGCUUUUGAAACUGCGUAGCUUGAGUGUGGAAGAGGAUAGUGGAAUUCCUGGUGUAGUGGUGAAAUACGUAGAUAUCAGGAGGAACACCGAUGGCGAAGGCAGGUCUCUGGGCCGAUACUGACGCUGAGGAGCGAAAGCGUGGGGAGCGAACAGG